CUAGUAAAUCGGGUGAUUGCUCCCGCUAAAAGCGGGGGAGGAAAGUCCGAACACUCACUCCUCAGAAUUUCUGAGGGUUAAAAAGAUAAUGGAUAACAUCCAUCGGCCGUGAGGCUAGAGGUGCGAGCAGAGACGUGCGAAGCCGAAAGGUUGAGCAUCCCGUCGAAUGACUGGAUAGUCCUACAGCAAUGUAGGGGUGAAACGGCUAAAUCCUUAUCGGGUGCAAGAACAAAGCCCCGCCCUUUCUAUCUUAGGGAAUACCUACGAGAUUUCGAUAAAAGACUAUAGUUGUUUUUCUGAAAUCUCGAAUUUCAACAAGAAAGGGCGGGGUGAAAAGUAGUUCGCUUGACCCUGAGAGUAAUCGAAGGGCUAGAUAGAUAAUCACACACCGACGCCAAAUGGCGGAGGUGACAGAAUUCGGCUUACAGAUUUACUAGGACA
rnacentral:RNase_P_RNA from 1 species